rnacentral:tRNA from 1 species
ACGCGUCUGGUCGAGGUGGGCGCGCUGGCUCCGGUCGGCGGUCGGCGGCGCUCGAUCCUGUGGGAGUCGUCGCCGGUGCUCGCGGCGCUGGACGCGUUC